GCGGGUGUCGCACAGUGGUAGUGCACUAGCCUUCCAAGCUGGCUACACGGGUUCGAUUCCCGUCACCCGCUCCA
rnacentral:tRNA from 1 species